rnacentral:lncRNA from 12 species
CAGACACUGAAAUACAGAUGAUGAAAAUAGAGAAACUGGAAUUUAGCAGAGGGAGACAUGUUAAUUUCUGUUCCAUUUGAAAUGCAGGAAAAUAUCAUCUGCCAAAUGGAAAAGGACAAUCGGUGGGAAAAGAAAUGUUCUUUUCAAGCUUCUAAGAGCAGUGACAAUGGAGAGAAAAAAUACUAUAAAAAGUCAGGUUGGUCGGCCCUUUGCCACUGUUCCUGCCACUUCCUGAAGCCUGAAUUGGCUUUUUUUGGAGGCAGUGCUACUUCUCU